GACGAACGCUAGCGGCGUGCUUAACACAUGCAAGUCGAACGGAAAGGCCCUGCUUUUGUGGGGUGCUCGAGUGGCGAACGGGUGAGUAACACGUGAGUAACCUGCCCUUGACUUUGGGAUAACUUCAGGAAACUGGGGCUAAUACCGGAUAGGAGCUCCUGCUGCAUGGUGGGGGUUGGAAAGUUUCGGCGGUUGGGGAUGGACUCGCGGCUUGUCAGCUUGUUGGUGGGGUAGUGGCUUACCAAGGCUUUGACGGGUAGCCGGCCUGAGAGGGUGACCGGCCACAUUGGGACUGAGAUACGGCACAGACUCCUACGGGAGGCAGCAGUGGGGAAUAGUGCACAAUGGGCGGAAGCCUGAUGCAGCAACGCCGCGUGCGGGAUGACGGCCUUCGGGUUGUAAACCGCUUUCGCCUGUGACGAAGCGUGAGUGACGGUAAUGGGUAAAGAAGCACCGGCUAACUACGUG
rnacentral:rRNA from 1 species